UGUAGUCAGAAUGGUAUCCGCGGCGAGUCCGCAGCACUGCCAGCCCUUGUCUUCUCAGAGGAAAGAAUUCAAUUGAGAGAUGGAGGCAAGUUUUAAAGCAGAGGCAAAGGUGCUGCAAGGAUCUCAGGAAAUGGAAGACUCAGCCCUGCCUGCAAGGAGCCACCAGACUGGUGGGGUGGGGGCUGGGGGGAAGGACAGAAGAGGACCCCAUUAAACCUCAGCCCCAGUGACGGGAGCAACGCGGUACAGAGGAACAGAGAGGCCUGGACUGUGGGGUUCCCUGGGCUUAAUGUGGGAUGUCCUGAUCUUAACCUCAGUGCCUGCCUGUGCUGUUUGUGACCUAUUGGGACUCACCCUGUUAAUCCCAGCACAUUCGAUUGGUUGAGGCCAUCAUGAAGACCUGCCCAAUUUCAAGGGAAGGGGACAGAAACACUGUCUUUUGAUGGAAGGAGUAUCAAACAAUUCGUGGGCAUAUUUUUAAAGGACCACAAUUACCAAAAAGCAGAGUGGUUCAUGCUGUGGUGGGGAAAGUGCGAAGGGUUCUGGGACCUCAGGGGAAACCCUUUCUAGAAUCCAGAAAAGCAUGGGAGUGGUCAGGGAAGGCUCCCUGGGGGUGAGGGCAGAGCAGAACUCCCAAAUGUAAGCAGGGCUGGGGCAAAACUCUAAAAAUUAAGCACAGUCCGUACUAUAAAUUUUGUUUUCCAGAAUGAAA